UAAAAACAAGUUCAUGGUCAGCCCGAGU
rnacentral:sRNA from 1 species